rnacentral:ncRNA from 2 species
AAAAAUUUAAAACUCCGAGCUUCUCCGCCUAAGUCUUGCAUAAGUUGUCAGUUUGAUAUGGUUGUUUGGCCGCUAGUGAAUCAUGUAUUAACUAGCCAGGGUUCAAUCAGAAAUUGAUUUAGCCUCCCUUACUUGGAAAGGUGUUUAAUGUUAAAAGAU